ACUAGUGCUUGCAUAUAUAAACUAAAAUUGGAACAAUACAGAGAAAAUUAACAUGGUCCUUGUGCAUGGAUGACAUGUAAAUUCAUAAAGCAAUCCAUAUUUUU